ACACAUGCAAGUCGAACGAGCGAGAGAGAGCUUGCUUUCUCAAGCGAGUGGCGAACGGGUGAGUAACGCGUGAGGAACCUGCCUCAAAGAGGGGGACAACAGUUGGAAACGACUGCUAAUACCGCAUAAGCCCACAGGUCGGCAUCGACCAGAGGGAAAAGGAGCAAUCCGCUUUGAGAUGGCCUCGCGUCCGAUUAGCUAGUUGGUGAGGUAAUGGCCCACCAAGGCGACGAUCGGUAGCCGGACUGAGAGGUUGAACGGCCACAUUGGGACUGAGACACGGCCCAGACUCCUACGGGAGGCAGCAGUGGGGAAUAUUGCACAAUGGGGGAAACCCUGAUGCAGCGACGCCGCGUGGAGGAAGAAGGUCUUCGGAUUGUAAACUCCUGUUGUUGAGGAAGAUAAUGACGGUACUCAACAAGGAAGUGACGGCUAACUACGUGCCAGCAGCCGCGGUAAAACGUAGGUCACAAGCGUUGUCCGGAAUUACUGGGUGUAAAGGGAGCGCAGGCGGGAAGACAAGUUGGAAGUGAAAUCUAUGGGCUCAACCCAUAAACUGCUUUCAAAACUGUUUUUCUUGAGUAGUGCAGAGGUAGGCGGAAUUCCCGGUGUAGCGGUGGAAUGCGUAGAUAUCGGGAGGAACACCAGUGGCGAAGGCGGCCUACUGGGCACCAACUGACGCUGAGGCUCGAAAGUGUGGGUAGCAAACAGGAUUAGAUACCCUGGUAGUCCACACCGUAAACGAUGAUUACUAGGUGUUGGAGGAUUGACCCCUUCAGUGCCGCAGUUAACACAAUAAGUAAUCCACCUGGGGAGUACGACCGCAAGGUUGAAACUCAAAGGAAUUGACGGGGG
rnacentral:rRNA from 1 species